AGUAAGGCAAAGAAUAGGCUAGUAGUACAUAUUUAUUCGAAAAGAGAAGGAAGCCAUAGGCUGAAAGUUUCCUACGAAAGAAAGUGUAUGAACCUACCUAUGAGUCGUUAGUUAAGAAGCUAACCACAGAAUACUGUGUUAUCAAAAAAGAGAGGGUAAUGAAUUUACCAAAUUAGGUGGUACCGCGGAACCCAUUCCGUCCUAAAU
rnacentral:ncRNA from 1 species